AGUGAUACCAUCUUGUUGGAAUCUCUGUUUUUGAGAUCUGCCCCAAAGAGACCCAGUGAAAGCUGAGGGUUUUUCAGCACAAAACUAUCAUGAACUGAGCCUCCUGCAUUUAAUCCUCUCCUGAUGCGAUUGUAGGAGUCAAAAACAGAUUGUGAAGCAGCUCUCCAACAAGAAGAGAAACGCAAUACCUGAACCCAGGAACUCUUUCAGCAUUCAGUGAACCGCAGAAAGAUUUAGGAAAGAGGAAAGCAGAAAUGGGUGUGCUUUUUCCAUUUGUUUCACGUGACAGAAGUUUCCUAGGAAGGGCCAGUCCUGUAAGAAAAGUAGCGGACAAAAUUACAUGGAUGAUACAGAUGGAGGGAGCACACAGGAAGAAGAGAAUGUUGUAUUACUGAGUUUGGACUCUCAGAGUAUGUUUGACAUAAAUUUAUGCUUGCAUCUACUUAUCAACACGUAAUUGCCUCUAAUGAAACACGUACUUGAUAAGAUGAAAGGGAAUGCAUUGUGAUGUGGCUCUUUAAAAUCUGGGCUGACCUGAGCUUUUAUCUACAGGAAUGAUCAGAGGGGAAGGGACCUAGAGUCUGCCAAACUUUCAAGGGGAAGGUCAAGUGUUUGGCACACCAAACAAAGAAGAACUGUGUGGAUAAUGUAUAGAAGGAAGAGGAAAGGUGGAACUGGCAGCAGGGAAGCAAGUGGUUACAAUAGCAGGAAUGGGACUUAAUUUAUCUCUGUAAAAUGGAAUAAAAUCUGUUGUUAGAUAGCCAACUAGAUGGUAUGUUUCACUGAGAUUUUCCUGAAUUGAAACUGGCCUUUGUAUACUUUGUUGAAAGGUGUUCUGUGAUCUUUAAAAGGAGAGUGAGUUGGCCAUAAGACAAGCCAAUAGAGUCCGCUUUACGGUACUAAAAAAGAUAGCUAUGUGUGACCCAGUUAAUUUUCACAUCUCUUCUCUUAAGAAACUACUCCAUCAAAUAAUCAACUUUCUUUUUUAAUUUUGAAAUGGAAGAAACAGAAUAUGCUUCAUGGAACAUUUCUUUAAAAAAAAGCCUUUUAAUUAAAAAAAAGGGAAAAAAGAAAAACAACACAUUUGCUGUGUGUGUCCAGCUAUCUGUGCUUUCUGUCACUUUGAAUACUUUGGCCACCAGGCGUGGUCAGUGUUUUUGGACACUCCUAUCCGUCCCCAUGACCUUUUUAAUAUCUUUUCAUCCAAAUUGUUGCUGCUGCAUUUAUUCUUAGCAUUCAUAUAAAACAAUCCACUUUCAGAGUCUAUAUUCUCACAAAGACCCUUGAGUUAAUGGUGUAUGGAAAUUUCCACAGGGGUCUGCCUAUAAUGACUUCCAACUCACUAUUCCCAGAUUUGAGUUAGUAAAUCAGAAAAAUAUUUUCUUAUGUUUUUGGUGGGGAGGAGGAAUGACAGGGAGCAGAGAGAGAGAUCGCUGUUAAGUUUAGUAAAUGUAACCUCUUUGGCACUGCUUUUCCAUAUGCAGAGACCAAAUUCUUCCUUAUUCAUUUGUAAUCUUUUUGUUUUGCCCCACCCUUUUCUUCCCACCCUCUCAGUUAUGGGCAGGACCAAAUAUUAUGCUUAGUUGGCUCAUUGUGGAGUGAAAUAGAUUUUAGUGGAAUUAAUUAAUGGAAUUUCUUUUACAUUUACAAUUACAUAGUUAAUGAGAGGGUCUGACCUCAGGAAGAUGCAUUGCCUUUUUGCUUUUGCUGAGCAUUGUUCCCAGUGACACAGCAGCCAUGUACAAAGGGGAAAAUAUAAAUUGCUUUUAAAGUGACAAAGUAAUGUAUUAAAAAAAAAAAAGAACAUUUAGUUUUGAAAACACAAAUCUUUCACUGAAUAAAUA
ensembl:lncRNA